rnacentral:lncRNA from 1 species
CUAGAGUUUUACAGAUAAUAAACUCAUCAUUAAUUUUAUUCACUUGCAUUUUUUUUUACUCUACCCUCUCUAGGAUGGACGCCUGCGUCCAAACGACCAGCUUCUGGCCGUCAACGGUGAAUCCCUCCUUGGCCGCUCCAACCACGAUGCCAUGGAGACUCUGCGGCGUUCCAUGUCCAUGGAGGGCAACCUGCGAGGAACCAUCCAGCUGGUGGUCCUGCGCUCUCCUGAGCCCCCCCCUGCACAGGAGAGCAGCCAGACCCAAUCCAGAGGGAGCCCUCCUGUCCAGUCAUCCAAGAACAGCCAAUCCAAUGGAGUCUCACAGCCUCCAAUGGUCAUGAACAGCAUCUACGAUCGAGCUCCAGGACCGCUUGUGUCCUCCAAUGGCAGAUAUAGAGUGCAGGAGGAAGACAAUGGUGAAGAGGAUUUCCCCCCUCCUCCUGCUGAUCUGGACAGAAUGGAAAAAGACAUCAAUCUUCAACAGAACUACCCACAACACAGAGUGGAAAGAGAGCCGGCGGGUCGUCCCACUUAUUUACAACAUCCACAGACCCAGAGACCACCUGAGCACAGCCCCACUAAAGCUUCCAGAAGCAUGGACCUGGUGGCAGACGAGAGCAAACCAGGUGCAAUGGAACCACAGAAAGCUGAACAUGAACUCGUCUGCUCUUUGUUUGUUGUUCCAUCCAUCCUCUUCCCUGCAUUCUUGCUGCCGCUGUACCUGCUCUUUCUUUCACUGCUCUCAGUUCUACUUCUGCUUGUUUUUUCUGUCAGUCUCCUCGUCUUUACC